AUUUGAUGAUAUGGAAAUUGAAUAUGUAACUCUCUGAAUCUUUCCCAAGCUUCAUAGAAUUCUUCAGUAUAUUUUUGCUUGAAAGUUUGAAUUCUAUUCCUAAGUUC
rnacentral:snoRNA from 1 species